GUGCUCUUGGCCCGCGGUCCUGGCGGGGCGUCCUGGGGCCGGCUCCCGCUGCCCCUUCAGCCCGCGGGCUUCUCGCAGAGGGGCACAAAGGGACGCCGUCGGCGCCGGCUGAGAGCCAGGCCCGGCCCGCGACGCCCGAUUGUCCCGGUGGGGAAACUGGGGGCCGUGGUGGUCCAGAGCUACUCCCUCCCGGGUCUCAGGCGACUCAGAGGCCCUGGUUCCCGCCGGCCCGGAAAGCCGGACACUGGCGCCCUUCUCCGAGCCUGGUGGUCUGGAGUUUCUUCCCACUGCCAGGCUGCCCGGAGACUGAGUCACCGCGUCCCGCGUGUGUGCCGGGCCUGCCUGCCUCGCGCGUAAAGUGUGGGCCUUCUCAGGUUCCGGCUCAGCCAGGCCUGCCUAGUAAGACCUAACGUGAUGCUGUGGAGCCUAGCAGACCGGGCUUUCAUGCCCGCAUUCGUAGCAGCUGAGCGUGUGCCUUCUACCCAGUCAUGUAACUUCUUUGUGUCUCGAUUUUUUCAUUUGCAAACGAGAAAUUACUAUUGCAUCUACCUCAUAGUACCGAUGAGAGACUUAAACUAGGUAAUCCACGUAGAGUGCUCAGUACAGUGCCGAGCAGUCGUUAAGUGCACAGUAGGCAUUAGCUAUUACUGUUUGCUGCAGAGUUUGGCUUGCUCUUGAAGGUUUAUGGCUUCCCAGUACGUUGUAGGCCAUCUUCCAUCCUUUUUACCUUUCAGAACCGAUCGUCUUUCUUUUGAAUCUCCGCUGUACCAUAGUCCAAUUCUGUGGCCUUGAACUUAUUUAACUUUCCACCUUUUUUCCCCUUCCUCUAGAAUACCAGUGAUAAUUGUUAGCUUGGCGAGUUGGCUAUAACUGAAUGCCUGACUAAAAUGGCAAAGUGCCUGCCUAGCUCCUGGCAAAGAACAGAUGUUCAGUUAAUGUUGGUACCUUACAUGUUAUGCUGGUUAAUGCACUCAGCCCACAGGAACAUCUGCCUGGAAUUUGUCAAACCUAAAUUAUUUUCCGACUCUACAUUCAGGCUUUACAGAGCUGAAUCUAUUUAAACGUAGUUCUUUGCUGAUUUAUUGUGACACUGGGAGAGCCAGUGUCUUAGGUUCCCUACACUUUUCAUCUGUAAAAGACAAUGGGAAUACCGAAUGAGACUUACUGGUUCCAGGGUUGGAGGAUACAACUAGAACAUUUUAAAUAUGAAUUCAUGGCCAACUCACUUGGUCUUUUGUGAAAAACUUUGCAGGCUGACAAGUUUUUCUUGCUUGGGUUAAUUUACUUGAAACAGCAUAAGAAAACAUGAAGGUGUUAAGAAUAUGAAAUUCUCCAAGAGCAAAGGACCCAAUUGUGCUUUUUAUUAAAAAAAAAAAAAAAGUCUUGAAGUGCCUCUGAUAAAAGUUACAGUAGAGCAAGCCAAAGUCAGUAUGUCAUAGCCAAGUGUAGUGGAUGAGAGCCUGUAAUAACCAAUUUUGAAUUAUUACCAUUGCCUGAAAUAUUAAGAGGGCAAGAAAGGAUCUUGCCUUUUUUUUUUUUAACAACAAGCUUGGUCUCACAAUAGGCCUUUCAUGCAUAUAGCUUAGAUACUCCUGGGAACCCAGGUAGUCAUUAAAAAUGGGUGGUGUGGGCUGUAGCAACCCAAUUAUGGCUCUGCAGCUGCUGUCUAGGAAAUCAAAGGAGGCAGUAUCUCUGCUACUGUCUCAAGAGUCUGGAGCAACUCUGGCUGCUCAUUAGUGAUUUUCUGCUCACAGUGAGGAACCCUCUGGAAAUCAGAUGGGUCUCAGCUUUUAGGAGAGAUCCUG
rnacentral:lncRNA from 1 species